GGCUGUAACAGGUCCCCUCUGACAGCCCCAGGGACAGACAAGGCAGUGUGCUCAUUUGCCCUAACGAGCUUCCCGGGUUCCCCCUGUCCUCCUCAGCCCCAGUGCUUUGUGUGAGUGCCCAGGGAGGCUGCCCCUCCUUUCCUGUGCUUCCCACCAAAAAGAAGCAGGACUUGAACCAGAAACAAUUUUCUGGGCGAGGACCAACCAGAUCCUCCCGCCUACCUGGGGCACUAACCCCGAUGCCACCACCGGGCCGUGCUUUGCUCCCUGACCACAUCAUGGUGCAGUGAGAGCUGCUGCUGCCUCAGUGUUGUUUUAAUCCAAGGAUGUUCGUUGUGACAGCUGCAGCCCGAGAGGCAGCCGCGGAAAACGACUGCAGGAAAAGGGCAGGGAAGAAGCUACCAAAACUUCCCAGAAAUGGGGGUCGGAUCCUGCUGCCACCAACAUACCCGGAUUUCCCUGGGAGGAGCAGCACCCAGCCGGCACGGGGGGAGCACGAUCACAUAAAUACCAGCCCUGAUUGAACCGCAGAGGGCACGACAUUUACCGACAGGAUGUAACCUUUCCGUACAUCUCCUGCAAGUGAUUAGCGCCGAGCACGCUCCGUGCCAUUUAGCCAUCACCACUGAAUGACAAUCAGAUUAAGUCAUGACAGAGCUAAUAAAAAAAAAAGUGAACACAGCUUGUGGAGAGCACCAGACAGUGCUCCCCAGCCUGACCACAAGUGAAGAACAGCAGCAUGGAGACAAGCAGUGGUGGGAGCAAGAGCAUCAGGGACUGAGCUUGCUUAAACAGAACAGCCAUGGACCAGGGAAUCGAUGGCUGCCACUGCCACCAGCCAUGGACCUGGUGUCUUUCUCCUACAGCACGGGGCUGUCACUAGCUCUGCCUUUGCACAUCUCCCCAGUUUUAAGAGCAGAGAGGUCUACAGGACAUAGACACCCCCAGCUCCUCAGCAAAGGCACAAGCUUUGGGAAGUGACCCCACAGCAUUGUGUCCAGCACUUCCAGGGGACACACAUCCUCCACCUCCCUCCACAGCCUGGGAACAAAGCAUUGGUUGGAGAGCACAUGCUCUGCUUCCAGAGCUGGCCCAGCCCACAAAACACACAAAACACAGCCUCAAGUCACAAAUCACACUGCUGCCUCAGCCUUCCCUCCAUCCCACAUGCACCCAGAUCGCACAGGUUCCUCUCCAGGAGACGUUCAGUACCAGGCCACACAGGAUUAAACUUCCCAGCCUCAAAAACAGCAUUUAAACCCCAAGAACGGGGACAGAGGGGAAGGACAGCAUGCCUCCAGACAAAGCCAGGUGCCUGCAUUUGGACUAUCUCACCUGAAUCCUUAUUAAAGCAAUCCAAGUCCCCAGCUGUACCAAAUUAGAACCUGGACUGCCUCCCGCAGCUGGGUGCUCCCUGGGUCCGGACAGCUUCGGCAGAGGAUGCCUCAAAGUCAGCGACCGACUCUGCUGAAAUAACCCUGCCUGCAAACGCUUCACCUUCUUUUUUUUUUUUUUUUUCCCCUUUCCGCCGCAGUUUUGCUCAGAGGUCUGGCCAGAUUCACGGCUCUCCAAUCCCUUUAAUAAAUCAUCUCCUCACCACGCCCA
rnacentral:lncRNA from 1 species